rnacentral:rRNA from 1 species
AACGAACGCUGGCGGCAUGCCUAACACAUGCAAGUCGAACGAGACCUUCGGGUCUAGUGGCGCACGGGUGCGUAACGCGUGGGAACCUGCCCUUAGGUUCGGAAUAACUCCCCGAAAGGGGUGCUAAUACCGGAUAAUGUCUUCGGACCAAAGAUUUAUCGCCUUUGGUUGGGCCCGCGUUGGAUUAGCUUGUUGGUAGGGUAAAAGCCUACCAAGGCGACGAUCCAUAGCUGGUCUGAGAGGAUGAUCAGCCACACUGGGACUGAGACACGGCCCAGACUACUACGGGAGGCAGCAGUGGGGAAUAUAGGAAAAUGGGCGAAAGGCUGAUCCAGCAAUGCCGCGUGAGUGAUGAAGGCCUUAGGGUUGUAAAGCUCUUUUAACCGGGAUGAUAAUGACAGUACCGGGAGAAUAAGCGCCGGCUAACUCCGUG